UUGCUAUCUGCGAUAUGGAAGAUUCGAACCUGCCGCAGGUUCGGGUCGAACGCAGUGAGACAACGGAGCCGUUUACGGCGGCGGCCCGUAGGGCGAGCGAAGCGAGUCAUCCUGCACGACCCACCA
rnacentral:sRNA from 1 species